rnacentral:rRNA from 1 species
UACGUAGGGUGCGAGCGUUGUCCGGAAUUACUGGGCGUAAAGGGCUCGUAGGUGGCCAACUAAGUCGGACGUGAAAUCCCUCAGCUUAACUGGGGAACUGCGUCCGAUACUGGAUGGCUUGAGUUUGGGAGAGGGAUGCGGAAUUCCAGGUGUAGCGGUGAAAUGCGUAGAUAUCUGGAGGAACACCGGUGGCGAAGGCGGCAUCCUGGACCAACACUGACACUGAGGAGCGAAAGCCAGGGGAGCAAACGGG